rnacentral:tRNA from 3 species
AGCCUUAUAGUGUAAUGGUAACACCCCGGAUUUUGAUUCCGUUAUUCUAGGUUCGAAUCCUAGUAAGGCUA